ensembl:lncRNA
AAAUAAAGGCGAACUGGAAACAGAGGGCAGUGAUAGAGGACAAAGAGGCAAAGAAAGAAAACAAAAGAGGAAAGAAGUGAAAAGAGCCAGCAGUAAGUAAACAGACUUUCAGAUUUUAUUGAACCCACACCUGAGUUUUUGUGGACUAGUGUUGCGUCUGCUGCUGUGUAAUUGCUGUUGUCAGGUGAUGAAUGCAGCUCGAAUUCAUGACAAACAGAAGCUGAAGUCAUUCUGGGAGCAGAGGAUUGUUCAGCACAGCGAGCAGACGAAUGGGGAGGAGAACCGUAUGAAGAACAGCGCUUUGGCACGACUGAGGGAGCAGUGGGUCAUCAGGUUGGAGCAGAGGAAUCAACACCUGCAGAGUUUCUUCGAGGAGAGAAUGAGACAAGCGCAGAAAUCCCAGCAAAUCCUCGGAAAGACCGAUUCACCCUGAAACCAGCAGAUAAGCCAGAAGGUGGUUAAAGAAAGAACAGCUGCUGUCCAGAUAUUGUUUAUGGUGCUAAAAAAUAAAUGUGUAAAGGUCAGACCUUUACACAUUUAUUGUCAUUGAUUUUUAUGAAACAGAGGAACUAAAACAAACAAAAAACAAAACUAUAUUCAAUAUAAAUUAAAUCCACUAAAACUCCAUGAACACUGUUAUACUUUAUUGCUGCCUGGUGCCACUGCUUAGCCAGUGUCAUGUAAAUAUGUUGAGGAUACCAUGCGUUCUUAAAUAAGUAAAUGUGAUGUCUAUAUUUGCAGUAAUAAAAUCAAAAGAUUAAAAAUGC